GUGGGGAAUAUUGGACAAUGGGCGAAAGCCUGAUCCAACCAUGCCGCGUGUGUGAAGAAGGUCUUCGGAUUGUAAAGCACUUUAAGUUGGGAGGAAGGGCAGUAAGUUAAUACCUUGCUGUUUUGACGUUACCAACAGAAUAAGCACCGGCUAACUCCGUGCCAGCAGCCGCGGUAAUACGGAGGGUGCGAGCGUUGUCCGGAUUUAUUGGGUUUAAAGGGUGCGUAGGCUGGAAGGUCAGUCAGCGGUGAAAAGCUGUCGCUUAACGAUAGUCUUGCCGCAGAUACUUCCUUUCUUGGAUGAGGAAGAGGCCACUGGAACGGAUGGUGUAGCGGUGAAAUGCAUAGAUAUCAUCCAGAACACCGAUUGCGAAGGCAGGUGGCUGUACCUUAAUCGACGCUGAUGCACGAAAGCAUGGGGAGCAAACAGGAUUAGAUACCCUUGUAGUCC
rnacentral:rRNA from 1 species